GCGGCUCCUGAUUGUCCAAACGCAAUUCUCGAGUCUAUGGCUCCGGCCGAGAGUUGGGUUUGGACGUCCCGAGCCGC
rfam:Oryctolagus cuniculus chromosome 12, whole genome shotgun sequence.